UAAUAUUAGAUGUAAAUUAAUAUGACAUGUUAGAAUAUAAUGGUGUGUGUGUGUGUGUCAAUAAUAAACAAACAGGCAAGGCAGGGUUUGAGAAAAGUGCAACAGAAUCCACCAACCCUAUAAAGAAAAAAAAGACAACUCCCUAAUUAAACAUGCACUCCCCUUUUCUAAACAAACUCCUCUCCUUCUCCUUCUUCUUCUUCUUCCUCUUCCUCUUCCUCUCUUCUUCUUCUCAUUGCUUGACGCUACUUAAGAUAACAUACUUCGACCUAUCGCCGUUGUCAUCUUUACCUCUCGAGUCGUAAAGUUAACUAAUCUCUCUCGACGUACAUAGACAGAAGUAUAUAUAUAUAUAUAUAUAUUUAUGAGAAGUGAAGGUAGUUGUUGCUCAUUUUCUUACUUCAAGGUCUUGCUUGGAGCUGUGGCUGUUGGGAUGUUUGUAUGGCUUUUAAUCGUUGGCAUGCCCGACAGCGGAGAACGGUCGAUGGCGAAAACAACAAGCUGGCCGGCAGCUAGGUCUGAGUUUGAGGGAAGCCAUAUGAAGCAAGCCAAGGAGCUUAACUUCAUGAGCAAAGUUAAAGUCCCUAAAGGACCCGACCCAAUUCAUAACAGGCGAAUGGGAGUAAAAGGACGGCCACCCGCCUGACCUUAGGCUUAGGCUUAGGCUUCCUCCAGUUUGAGAGGAACUCAUGCCUCUUGGUUCUUCUCAACGUUACCCUUCAAACAACAUGCCUCUUAUUUGUAUUCUAAUUUCAAUAAUCCAAAAUAAAAAACAUCUGGAUUGUACA